rnacentral:rRNA from 1 species
UACAGAGGUGGCAAGCGUUGUUCGGAAUUACUGGGCGUAAAGGGCGCGUAGGCGGUUUGUUAUGUCGGAUGUGAAAGCCCUUGGCUCAACUGAGGAAGUGCAUCCGAAACUGGCAAGCUAGAGUACUAAAGAGGGUCGCGGAAUUCCCGGUGUAGAGGUGAAAUUCGUAGAUAUCGGGAGGAACACCGGUGGCGAAGGCGGCGACCUGGGUAGAUACUGACGCUGAGGUGCGAAAGCGUGGGGAGCAAACAGG